GACAGAGGGUGCGAACGUUGUUCGGAAUUACUGGGCGUAAAGCGCGUGUAGGCGGCUCGAAAAGUCGGAUGUGAAAGCCCUGGCUUAACCUAGGAAGUGCAUUCGAAACUGCCGAGCUUGAGUUCUGGAGAGGAAGGCGGAAUUCUCGGUGUAGAGGUGAAAUUCGUAGAUAUCGAGAGGAACACCGGUGGCGAAGGCGGCCUUCUGGACAGUGACUGACGCUGAGACGGCGAAAGCGUGGGAG
rnacentral:rRNA from 1 species